CGGUAUCUCCAAUGGGGUACUCUUUCUGGAACAGAAACCUCUUCUUUAUGCUCCCGUGAACAACAACGACGAUGCCGGCAUCGGCUACAUCUUCCGUCAGUCACUCAAAAUCGUCGCCGUAAAAGCAGCUGGUUUAAUGUUUCGCAGCACGUUACACACAGGGGUACCGAGAGCAUUCUUGUGACUAUUUAGGCGAACACAGCCCGGCACAAGUACGUUUGAUGUACGCAUAGCGAAACUGCAAUUUACAGGUUGCCAUAUCAGAAACUCGAACCGAAUUGCAACUCGAGGUGGCAGAUCAACAAAUAUAGUUGCGAAACUUGUAUAACCAAUUUUCGCUGAAACCAGGCCACAAGUGACACGAGGGCUUUGAAAAUUAAUUUAUUUGUGUUAGUUAGGUUAAACGCAGUGAUAAAAUAUCGAUAGCAUUUGAAUUUGUUCCAGUUGGUGGAUUUCUCGUUCGCCAUGGGGUAACAAUUUUUAGAAAAAAAAAAUUUAAAUUUUGAUAUUUAAAAAUUUGAUAUUUUAAUAGAACUAUAGCUUAAAAUUUUGCUGGAAACCCCUCUACAAACAGCGCUUUAUUAUACGGUAAACAUGUCGAUACAAAGUGUUCAAAAUUUUGGCCGCCAUUUUGAAUUGACCGCCAUCUUGAUUCCAAUUAGUGUUAUGCGUUUUUUACCGAUUUUAACUCUGAAGCCGCCAUUUGAAAGAUGAGAAAAAAUUUUACAAGAUGCAUUCAGAAGAUUAGCACACUUCGCGCGAUCAACAUCGAACAGUGUUUUCUGCUGCUUCACAGCCGAGCGAAACAAGAGUGGUGAAUUACUGUAGAGAGAAUACACAGAAGUACACCGAGGUGUGCACUGCUGAGAUAAAUUCGAUUGCAUUUGAAGAGCAAACACGCGUGACGGGCGCACAGUGGUCCAGUAAGGCAAAAAGUGGAACUAAAUUCCACAACGCCUUUCACCUUCAUCCUAGCUUAUGCUCCUAGUCUUCGGAACAAUUGUUUGUAUGAAUGACCUGCAUAAUCGCAA